UUUAUGGAGAGUUUGAUCCUGGCUCAGGAUGAACGCUGGCGGCGUGCCUAAUACAUGCAAGUCGAGCGAACGGACGAGAAGCUUGCUUCUCUGAUGUUAGCGGCGGACGGGUGAGUAACACGUGGAUAACCUACCUAUAAGACUGGGAUAACUUCGGGAAACCGGAGCUAAUACCGGAUAAUAUUUUGAACCGCAUGGUUCAAAAGUGAAAGACGGUCUUGCUGUCACUUAUAGAUGGAUCCGCGCUGCAUUAGCUAGUUGGUAAGGUAACGGCUUACCAAGGCAACGAUGCAUAGCCGACCUGAGAGGGUGAUCGGCCACACUGGAACUGAGACACGGUCCAGACUCCUACGGGAGGCAGCAGUAGGGAAUCUUCCGCAAUGGGCGAAAGCCUGACGGAGCAACGCCGCGUGAGUGAUGAAGGUCUUCGGAUCGUAAAACUCUGUUAUUAGGGAAGAACAUAUGUGUAAGUAACUGUGCACAUCUUGACGGUACCUAAUCAGAAAGCCACGGCUAACUACGUGCCAGCAGCCGCGGUAAUACGUAGGUGGCAAGCGUUAUCCGGAAUUAUUGGGCGUAAAGCGCGCGUAGGCGGUUUUUUAAGUCUGAUGUGAAAGCCCACGGCUCAACCGUGGAGGGUCAUUGGAAACUGGAAAACUUGAGUGCAGAAGAGGAAAGUGGAAUUCCAUGUGUAGCGGUGAAAUGCGCAGAGAUAUGGAGGAACACCAGUGGCGAAGGCGACUUUCUGGUCUGUAACUGACGCUGAUGUGCGAAAGCGUGGGGAUCAAACAGGAUUAGAUACCCUGGUAGUCCACGCCGUAA
rnacentral:rRNA from 1 species